GACAUUUGUUUUCCUAGAAUAGAGAUUUAAAAAUAUGCCCACACUGUCAGUUACUUCAUAUGAAGAGCAUAUUCUACUGUUUAGCUCUUGGUUUCAGGGCCUACGGGAGGGCUUAAAUCAAAGAGCACCUCUGGUGUCUAGAUGAGAAGUAUUUCUUAGAGUACACUGGAGUAAUCACUAUCACUGGAAAGGACUACCAAAGCACAUUUUCUAUUAAUCACUCACCUAAGUCACAUUCCUCAUCACUGAGACACAAUACCUUAUAUCCACAAAUGGAAGGAGGAGAUGUUCAUAGCUACCCUCUGUGGUUGGCUGGCUCCAGGGCAGAAAAAGGCAUGGCAGAGGGGCAUAGCGGGGGAGAGCUGCUCAUGGCAUGGUGGCCAGGGAGCAGAGAGCAGGGAGGAGCCCAGGAGUGAGAUGAACCCUCUUAACCCAACCGGACCCUCCCUCCUAACAGCACGGUGAACUGCGGAUUCAUCAGAGGAUUAAUUCACGGAGGAGUACAGCGCCCUCAUGACCAAUCCCUGUCUGAAAGUCUCCUCUGUGAACACAGGAGAAUUUGGGGGGACACUCCAGAUCUCAAACAUCGCAUCACGUCAUUUGAUCUGGCCCUGACCCUACCAGGGAGGGGGUUAUCAUCACCCUAUUUAUGCAGCAGAGAAAAUUCAGAUUCACCUGUGCAAAUACAGGGCUUGCUGGACCAGCCAUGAGGACCGCAAGGCAGCAGGGGACGGACGCGGCAUCGCACGAGGCACUGAUGGAAUGGGAGCCGCGCCGGGGCGAUUUAAGGUUUCCCCAUGGGUCCCGUGCUUGGAGGAAGCCAGCUCUGGCGUUUCCUUUCAGAUGCACGGACACCAUCCCCGGCAGGUGGCGCCUGCGAUGCCUGAGCGCCGCCCUGCAGCCCAGCCCCGCUCAGGCUGCUCCCGUGUCCUCUGCCGCUCUCCCUUCCUGGGUCACGGAGGCCACGUACUCCACAAGUUACUUAACACGUCCCCUCCAGGCACCUUCCUCUGGGCUCUGAGAGCCCUCCGGUGUUUUACCUGCACCUGGACACCCUGCUCACUGGAGUUUUCCGGAGAGCAUGAGGGGAAAUGGAAUUGCAUUUCUUGACAAUACUGUCUCUUUGAGGCCUUAAGGCUGACCUCUUCCUUUGCUGCGGAGGCACUGUUGAGAAGAUGAAAUGAAGUAAUGCACGCGAGGUGCCCAGUGUGCACGUGUGACUGUUUACAGGAUCUGUGACUACUUAUGUGUACGGUGACGUUUUACUAUCCACGGUUUCCAUUCACAUGCCUACAUUUUCCUCUACCGAACUGUAAACUCCUCAGGGGGAGGAGCGGGGGCGGUGAAUUCUGGAGUCUUCCACAGGCCCUGGAACGAUGACUCAGGACUGUAGAUAGUCCCUAAAUGAAUGGGGGAGGGAGAAGGAUGAAUAACUGGCGAGAGCAUUUUAAAUCUCAUCACAGUAUACAGCCCAGAAGUGAAGCGGGGGAAGAGAAGGACAAGGAGCCAAAAAUCCUCUGUUCUAACCCCUACGUGGAAGCAGCCUUAUCAUAGCACGGUAUUGCUCUCUUUCUGUUACUGAUUUCUGAUUUAAUUCCACUCUAAUUUAAUUGCACUGGGUGGUUUUGCUAUUUGAAGCUUUUGGGUCUUCCUACUCUUGGACUAGUAUUUAAUUUCUCUCUACCUGCACAGCAGCUGACAGUGUCUCUCCAUCCUACAAGAUCUUUAUAAGCAGGCACAGACGCUCUGGCGUGGAGACUUUAACUGUCACUGUCACCCUCACAAUUAGCCCCUGCUGGUCACCUGUCCGUCUUGAGGCAGUCUGUUGUGAUGGUGGAGGACAAGUUUUAGAAAAUUGCUUUCUACUGUAAGUCUGGAGUUGCCUUCAUUUAAGUUGCCUUCACAAAGCAUGGGCUUCCUUCCUUCCUUCGUGUUUGCUGCUUUAUUUCAUUGAUCAGAUGGGUUAUUGCAUUUCCUAAUGGCCAGGUACUGUGGGAGGCGCUAGGGACAGAGGCCAGAAACAAGUAUAAGCACAGAUGUACAAGGUGACCCACACCACCUGUCUCUGACCACAGCCAAGCCUGUGUGGAGGAAGAGAAGAAGGAGGAGGAAGUGGGCGGGGAAGAGGAGGAGGAAGAGGAGGAGGAGGAGGAGGAGGAGGAGGAGGAGAAGGAGGACAGAUUCUAUUAAGUGGGAGUCAGAAGACCAGGGGUCGAGUUACAGCUUGGCCAUCCGUCCAAGACUCAGUUUUCUUUCCUGUAAAAUGCAUCCUAUCUGUCUCUCAGGGUCACUGUGAGGAGAAUAAAACAAGACAGUAGCCGGUUGUGGUGGUACAUGCUUGUAACCCCUGCACUCUGGGAAGCAGAGGCAGGAAGAUCACAAGUUCAAGUGUGACCUGGGCAAUGAAGUGACUUACUGAGACCUUGUCCCAAAAUAAAGAAUACAUUUUUAAAAGGCCUGGGGACGUAGCUCAAUCCCCAAUAUCUCAAAAAACAAAGCAGAACAAAGCCAAAGUAAAACAACUGAAUGGGACAGCAGUUCUAAGCUUUAAAGCUCCUUAAAAGCGUGUUGCUCACAAGGGUACCAUAAAGAUGUGGCUGUAGGGUGUCCCUUACUUUAAGCCCUCUUUUUUUUUGUUUGUUUUUUUUUUGAUCCCUACAGAAGCGACCAACUAUUAGUAGGACAUGGUAACUGGCGCUUUCUGCUCACACAUCAGGGCUGGGUAAAAGUGUACCCCAACACCAUCCCUUUGCUGUGGUGGAGUUGGUCCACCAUAGGUCAGGAUGAUGAAAUUAAAUGCAAAGCCUCCACUGUGCCAGGCAGGUACCAACCCCACCCUCCCCACUUUGCUCUGGGACCAUUUCCAGUACUGCUUCUGGGUACAGACCAUUUUAUAUUCUCCCAGCUCCGUGGAGGUGAAAAUCUCUUAAUUUUAGAUCUUGUCUCAGUUACUUAAUUUCACAAUAUUCUUUCUAAUUGGAAACAAGAGUUGGAGUGUGAGAUUUAUUUUUAAAAAGGGCAAAAGAGAAAGCAGAAAUACAUGAACCUAAAGAAGACCCUCUCCUUGCAAAGGCAGCGUCCCUCGGGCCAGGGAGACCAGAAGACCAGGCACGUCUCCUCCCUGGUACCCCCCUGCCCUAGCACAGCGCCCCCCCCCCAGCACAUUGGAUGCUCUCAGUAAAUGUCUGUGGAAUAAAUGAGUACAUCCAUGGCAGUUGUUUGGACUUCAGUAUAAAUGGAUCUUGGAGCUGAGAUAUUGCCAGAUGGGCAGACAGGUUACAGUCUGCUGUUGCAUCGCCAAGGCUAUAAAAAUGCAGCCAUCAUCGGGGCUGCGAGCUGACAUUUCAGAAGAUGAUUAUAUGCACAAUUUAACCACACGGCCGUCCUUGCCCUCCAAGUACCACCGCUUAACAACUGUGUUCACGUUGUCUUUCUUGCUCCUUUCUUUUUUUUUAAGUCAAGCACAAUUUUUUCGCAGUGUCUCAUAUUUCUAGCUGAAUGUGAUUUAUUCAUACGAAAUUAUGCUCCAUUUUUGUAAAACCCAAGUUACUGCAAAUGAUGCUUGAGGUUUUGCAGAAAAUAUUAAUUCCUGAUCUGCUGCUAUAAAGCAUGCCCGCACGCUGUGCAGCGGCUCUGUCGCCCUGAGACAGAUGGAAGCAGUCCCGGGGUAUGAUUAACUUCUUAGUUCUGGCAAUUUCCUCGUGCUCCUCUGGCCCUAGAUUUCAAGAUUGACCUCCAGCUUCUCUGCAAAUGCACAGUCGCUCAGCUUGAUAAAUCACACGAAUCCCUUCUCUGAUCAGAGUUAUCUACUAUUUACUACUUAGGCAGGGGAGUUAAUCAUAUUCAAGGCAUUUCGUAUGCCUCAUGCAUAUCCAUCCUAUCUUCCUAAGGGCACUUUGCAUAUUUUCCACUUUGCCGGUGAGGCCGCAGCUUUCCCAGUGCAGAGUCCGAAGACCACCUUUAGAAAUGAACCUCACAGCCUGCUCUCCCUCGUCUUUCUCCCCUCUUCUCUGCCCACAUCGAGUACAAUGACUCAAGAGGGAGAACGUGAGACAGGCAUUGUAAGGAGCGAAUGAGAAGGACCAUGUCCCCUUGAAAACUGUGACCUCCUGUCAAUCUCGUCAAGAAUUGUGUCACCUCUUCCUGCCCUGGUCACCUGUUGUUUUCACUAUUUGGGGCUGUCAGGGGGCCUCUGCUUGGUCUGUGGACUCAGUGGUACCAAACGGACAGACGAAAAUAGCGUACACAGCCAGGAGCAGCUCAAAUCGCCCUGUGCCGCACUGCUGUGAUCUGAUUUCGACCUGCAGCGUGCUUCGGCUGUUUCGACGGAACCAAACAGGACAAAAGGUUUCCUUUGGUAGUGAUCACAGGUGACUUUCACAAUGAGGGGGAGGAAAUAAAGCAGCUUUAAUUUUUCAAGAUUGUGUAUUGACUGCAAGAAUUCCUGAACUCUGCAACACAGCCUGGGUGCCUGAUGAGUCCCAGGCACAGACAGAUAGGGGUAAAGGGCUCCGUGUGCUACUGCACGGUAGGGUGACUACAGGGAACGCGCUUUCGAAAGCCCGAAGGAAGGAUUCUAAACGGUUUUAACAUAAAGACAUGAUAAACAAGGAAACAGGUAUGUUUAACUUGAUUUACACUCACACAAUCUUUAGACAUAUUGACAAAUCACACAGUGCCCUAUAAAUACAUACAAUUUUAUGCUUUUAUGUAUAAGUUAAAGAUAAAUUUAAUAAAAAAAUACAGUCUGAAGGACCAGAUAUUGGAUUUGUGCUAAAAUGCCUAUUUAGAAAAUCAGCCAGGAAACUUUGGAGAAACGAAAAGACGGAUAGAUAAGAACGACCUUCAGAGACGUCUGGACACGCUCUGUCCUCCCACACCCCAGAGAUGAGUCCUCUCUACACGCGGAAGAGGACGGAAACACAUCCCUUUCCUUUUCCUGCUGGCUGUUUCUCUGGGUCAGGUCUCCAGGCUCGAGGGCAGGUUUCCUUAUAGCAAAACCAUGAAUGACCUUUAUCCUAGAAGCUCACAGCCACCCAUCAACACAGCCAGUGCAACUGUAUUUCAUCUUUCAGGUGCACAUCUGGAAUCACAAGGGCACGCCUCUGUAUCAAAGCCUUUGCACUCAUUCAUGGGUAUUCAGGAGAAAUGAAAGUGAAAUGGGCCUGUGAGAUGGGGAGGAAAAGUGCAGGACCCUGAGGCUCGGAAGGGGGCAAGGAGACCCCAGCACGGCUCCAGUCAAUGGAGGUCUUUCCUGCUCAGUUCCAGGAUCACAGAAUUCAUCAGGCACAUUUUGAGGUCUGAAAAAUGCUUUUUUCUUUUUUCUAUGACAAAAAUGAAAGUGCUACCUAAUCACUAUGGCAUUUUAUAGAAAUAGGUGAUAAUAGUCUGAACUAACAAUAGCUUCCUGAACCAGAAUAGUUUGUGUG
ensembl:lincRNA